GGGACCAUAGGAAUUAGUAAACCUCUGCAAAAGGAUUCAUAACUUCUAAAAUACAACAUAUAUGUCUUUUUCGUUGAGUCUGCAAACAUCCUGCUUUGGAAAAACAAAACUAGGCUAUCCAACUCCUGCACCUUCCCUGCACUUGGAAUGCCUACAUAAAAGAUAGGAUAGGGCUUGGUUAGACAUAUGGGAUUCCAAAUGCCUUAAAAACAGUGGUUUGGGAAGAUAAAAAUUCAUAAAUUGGUAAAACGCAUUUGGCUCAUGUAACCUAGAUAUGAAGUCUGCUAUAAUAUUUACUUUCCCUGGAACAUGGACAGCUGUUAUGUGAAAAUUAUAUGUUGCAGAGAGCCAAAACAAGUCCCUAAGGUAAGACAUAAAAAUUUUGCUGCGUGAAGUGCACUUAUUCAAGCAUGCAACAGUGGUCAUAUUGUCUGAGAAUAUAACGACUCUUUUAUUUUCCCAAUCUUUCCC
rnacentral:lncRNA from 1 species